rnacentral:rRNA from 1 species
UCGAGGAUCUUCGGCAAUGGGCGCAAGCCUGACCGAGCGACGCCGCGUGUGCGAUGAAGGCCUUCGGGUUGUAAAGCACUGUCGUGGGGGAGAAAAGCCCGCAAGGGUUUGAUCGACCCCAGGAGGAAGCACGGGCUAAGUUCGUGCCAGCAGCCGCGGUAAGACGAACCGUGCGAACGUUGUUCGGAAUCACUGGGCUUAAAGGGCGCGUAGGCGGGUCUUCAAGUCCGGGGUGAAAGCCCACGGCUCAACCGUGGAAGCGCCUUGGAUACUGGAGGUCUCGAGGGAGGUAGGGGCGUGCGGAACUUCCGGUGGAGCGGUGAAAUGCGUAGAUAUCGGAAGGAACACCGGUGGCGAAAGCGGCGCGCUGGACCUCUUCUGACGCUGAGGCGCGAAAGCCAGGGGAGCAAACGGGAUUAGAUACCCGCGUAGUCC